UACAGAGGUGGCAAGCGUUGUUCGGAAUUACUGGGCGUAAAGGGCGCGUAGGCGGCUCGACAAGUCCCGCGUGAAAGCCCCCGGCUCAACUGGGGAACUGCGCGGGAAACUGUCGGACUUGAGUUCGGGAGAGGGAAGCGGAAUUCCGGGUGUAGCGGUGAAAUGCGUAGAUAUCCGGAGGAACACCGGUGGCGAAGGCGACAUACUGGUCCGUUACUGACGCUGAGGCUCGAAAGCGUGGGGAGCAAACAGG
rnacentral:rRNA from 1 species